rnacentral:lncRNA from 7 species
UCUGAGAAGAGCAAUCUGAGGGGGCAAAGAGAUUUUUGUGAAGGAACCUGAGUGCCCUUACCUGUGUGGUGUGGUUCUGGGAAGGCAACGAGGUCAAACCCAGGCUUUGCAAAAGUCAGACCUUGCUUAACUGCAAAGAUGAGGCCCAAUGGUUGUGCAUUAAGUUGGGCUGCUGCUGUUGGAGGAAUGUGGUCUGUGGAUCCAGCAAUAUGCAGGCAGUGCAGAGCUCCUGCCUGGGGCUGGUGGCCAUUCGCACAUGGGACGUCUUGAUUUGGUGUCAGGGGACCUGCAGCUGACUGAUGCUCUCAAGCUCUCCCAGCCUCAUGGAACACUGGAGAUAAUUAUGGGUUUUACAAAUAAAGCUUAUUCUUCACCAAGAAAGGUUGAGGCUUUCUUUUGAAUAUGCCUUCAUAGAAUAAAAGCCUUCACUUCACAGAUCCUAAUCUGGUAUUUACAGACUGGCUGAGUUUGGAUGGUGCCAGCAUUCCGGCAUAAAUGCUAGAAGUGUCUACAUUUCAUCGAAUGCUUUUUUUAAUUGUAUUGUUUGAAAUUGGAGUAAAAAAGGAACACGGCUGUCUAGAGACUUUGGUAGCAUACAGGUUAUAAUGAACUCAUGAGAAAUAACAGCAGCAGUCUUUUUAAUGUGCUUUUUUUUGCACUGAACAAGGAAUUUUACACUGUGGGCUACAUUCUCAGCUGGAGUAAAUUGCCGUGUCUCUGGUUUCAUGCCUGUAUGACAGUCUGGUUCUGAGCUCCUCACUUAGAAAAUGUGAACCCUUAUUUUCAGCAGUUCAUAGAACAGCAGAGGAUCUGGCCUGGGUUUAUUGUGGUGCAAUAGUGUGUAAAUAUUAAGGUCAUCUGUUAUCUGGAAAAAUGCAUGAAUUAAGUUAAAAUCAGUAAUUCUGAUCCCACCCCAUAUCAGUAAAAUCAAUAAAGCUGUUUCC